rnacentral:rRNA from 1 species
UACGUAGGGUGCGAGCGUUGUCCGGAAUUAUUGGGCGUAAAGGGCUCGUAGGCGGUUUGUCGCGUCGGGAGUGAAAACCUUGGGCUUAACUCAGGGCUUGCUUUCGAUACGGGCAGACUAGAGGUAUGCAGGGGAGAACGGAAUUCCUGGUGUAGCGGUGAAAUGCGCAGAUAUCAGGAGGAACACCGGUGGCGAAAGCGACUUCCUGGACCAAUACUGACGCUCAUGUGCGAAAGCGUGGGGAGCAAACAGG